ACCACACCCAGUGCUCUACAAAGAGCUGUGUUGGUCGAGUGUUUUCUUAUUUCUGCUUGAUUUUCUGUUUUUUACAUGUUCACUUAAGACUGUUAGAACACACCAAAACCUGUUAUUGCUUGGCUUGACUUAGUGACUUUUUAUCACAUCUUGAUUGUUAGCAUCACACUCAUUUGGAUUGACACCCUAAAAUAGUACAACGACAUAAUUGGUGUUUUAGGAUAAUUGACUGAAAAACCUAUUAUCAAUUUGGCGCCAUUGUCAAUUGGGUGUUUUUUUGUUACAUUUGAGAUUUCAGACUUGCUUAGAUCAAGUUCUUUUUCAAUUUUCUUUUCUGUUACUAACUGUGUGUUUUUCUUGUUGUCUUCUUGAUCAAGGUACACCUCUGCUGUAUGAAAAAUCGAUCAACAGACAAUCAGAACCUCCUUUUCAAAGACAACAUCGACCGCAUAGCUCGCGAACUCAGAGAAAGGAGAAACACAGUCAACCUUGUACCCCAGCAACCACUCGAAAUGGCUGACGAACAGAAUCAACAAAAUGGCCCUGCCAACAGU
rnacentral:sRNA from 1 species